AGUGGCCUAGUAGAGGCAAACGUCAAUGAGGGCAUACAGCAGGCGUUCAACUUUGCCCUGAGCUAGUACAACAAAGCAAGCAACAACCCCUCCCACAGCUGUGCCAUGCGGGUGGUAUAUGCCUGCAAGCAGGCUGUGGCUGGGCUUAACUACUUCUUAGAUGUGGAAAUUGUUUGCGAAGUCCCAGCCUAACUUGGCAAGCUGUCCCUUCCGUGUCCAGCCAUACCUGACAAAGAAAGCACACUGCUCUUUCCAGAUAUACACUGCCCCUUG